rnacentral:rRNA from 1 species
AUACGUAGGUGACAAGCGUUAUCCGGAUUUACUGGGCGUAAAGGGCGUGUAGGCGGUCUUGCAAGUCAGAAGUGAAAUUCCUGAGCUCAACUCGGGCGCUGCUUCUGAAACUGCAGGACUUGAGUGCUGGAGGGGAUAGCGGAAUUCCUAGUGGAGCGGUAGAAUGCGAAGCGAUUAAGAAGAACACCGGUGGCGAAGGCGGUGUUCUGGACAGGAACUGACGCGGAGGCGAGAAAGCGUGGGGAGCAAACAGGAUUAGAUACCCUGGUAGCCCACGCCGUAAACGAUGAAUACUAGGUGGAGGGGGUAUCGACUCCCUCUGUGCCGCAGUUAACACAAUAAGUAUUCCGCCUGGGGAGUACGGCCGCAAGGUUGAAACUCAAAUGAAUUGACGGGG